CCCAGUCCACCCACUCCCGCACCCCACCCACCCCCGAUUCGCAUCCCCUCCACCUCCUCUCCUCUCCUCUGCCAAUGGGAUCUCUCCCUUUCUCCGAUCCAUGCCGGGAUCCUCCGCCGUGUGGCCGCACACGCGCACAGCCUUCCUCCACAACCCGGCCGACCAGGCCCAUCGCGGCGGCCAGCCCGGGAUGCUCCCCGCCGCGGCAUGGAGGCGUGGCGGCACGGCGGCCCCGAGGGAGAUCCUAGUGGCGGCACAGACGAUAUGGAGGAGGCGGUGUACGAGGUGGUGCUGCGGCAGGCCGCGCUGGUGGACGACCUGCGGGGGCGUCGGGCGGCGCGAGAGGUCGAGGCGGGGAGGAGCUCGACCACGACUUGGACCGGUGCAGGAGAUCGACCACGACGAUGGACCGGCACAAGAGCUCUACUCCAACACUGCUUCCCCAUCUCUGGUCUUUCCUUCAAACUCCAGUCCCGGCGGCUGGAUGAUAUACCUUGCGUAUGCUGAUGCUGAUGAUACCUCACUGCCUGCAAUGUUCGGAGGAUUCAACCACCCUGUUGAAGAUUCCCAAGAAAUUCUUACCUGCUGCAGGUUCGAUUUUCUUGCCUUCAGUUAGUUUGAGAACAACCUUCUGAUCAUGUCUUUGGUGAUAUACUAUUUAUUUCUCUGUACGUAGCACUCAAAAUAUAAUAUAUUGCUCCACGCUUUUGGGGAAAAGGUGCAUUUGACCUGCACUUUCAAGAAAAGGGUGUAAGAAAAAAUGUUUUUCUUUAAUCAUAAUUUUUUGAAGAAAGUUCUGAAGUGACUGUAAUUUAUCACCAAAGUGCCUUCAGUGCUAUAUAUGUAAUUUUGUUCAAAUUUCUAUGAUUGUAUAUCCUCGAGGGUUAAGUAUUUUUAAAUGUCUUGUACACUUCAUCAUUCAUAAAAAGUGGGCCCAAAUCCUUAAAUCCCUGUGUAAGUCAUUUGUUUUGGAAUAACAUUAAUUAUUUCAUACUCUGAUAGAUAUGUAUGUGAUAUGGUGAUACUUUCCAAAACACUGGCACAUUUACAUUAGAUAUAAUAGAAAUAGUUCUUCUGCACAAAUGGACAACUAUACUGGAAAACUUGGAAUUACAGUUAAACAUUGCCAAAACGAGCGACAGAAUUCACAGAGCAAUCCUGCUUAAUUGCUUGCUUCCGUAAUGGGCUCUUCACCUCACCACAUUUGAUGGAUGUCCGGGAGCGUUCCGGCUAGAUGGGUAAUUUGUUCAUCCAUUCUUCGUGCUCUUAUUUUUCGCUAUUGUGUUGAUAAGUGAGAACGUAGCUCACAAUAAUUUUAUCGGUGCAAAUGUGUUGCGCCAUCUUUUUAGUUUAUCCCUCCUUUUUUACUGAAAAACUGUAGGUAAGUCCUGAUAGUUAAGGUCAUUUAAAUCCAGCUUAUCUGGAUGCUUAGGUACUAUGCACGUACUGACCCGACCCUAACUUGUGAUGCAACCAGGGUGAAAUUUUUUGAACAAAAGUUAUUUAAGUACUCCUGGUGUGCUGUUGGAAUAAACUGAAGAUCAAGAUGGUGGAGGCAGCCAGUGUCGUGCCCGAGCGCUGGGGAGCUUGCCAGCGUUGUGGUGGAGAAGGUCGGCCGCCUCCUCUCCCCACCAAGUCGCUUUGGUCCAUAGAUCGAGUUCAUGGUGGAUAAGGAAGGCGUGGUUGAUUUCACCAAGCUGGAUCCGUAGGUCCCGAAGUCCUAUGGCAUGAACCGGCCACGACGCAUGCGGCUGGAUGCACUUGCUCAACACCUUUCCAUCUCUGCACAAUCAGCUACGGUGCUGCUGCACUUGUGCUAGUCAGUGGGGAGAAAGCUAAGAACCUUGGUCUUCAAGUUCUUGCAAGGACCAGAGGGUAUGCUGAUGUUGCGCAGGCACCUGUGCUAUUUACAGAAGGAGGGGACCCGGCCUUCUUCAUAUCUUGCGGCACUGUCUUCCUUUGAUUCGUUCAUGCAACAAGGAGGGUACAUAGCCUUCUUCACGUCUCGUGCAACAAGGGUGAUUGACACUGACUAUGGCAGCUUGUUGGGCGUCGUGCUCUUCAACCACUUAGAGGUAGACUUCGACGUGAAGCCCGGCGAGCGCGCCGCAUGGAUGACCGUCCAUGUGAUCGCGACGCCGGAUGUCGCUGAGGUGGAGGACCUCGAUGCCAUCUUUCGUGGUGAGGGAGGAUUCGGGUCCUCCGGCGUCUGAACUCUGAGCCCUGCUAGAUACAUGUAGAGAAGUGGUAUGUUUAGGCUGCUGGUGGAACACUAGGGAAGGUACCCACCUUUGGUUGUGUGCGUUUACUGAUAAAUGGAAUCUCGUGAACUAUUGGAGUUGAGAUGUUCAAUGUUGCAUCCAUGAACAGUGCAAGUGUUAAGAUGAUCCUGUGACCUUAAUUUAUUUUGCACUCGA